AUUGAACGCUGGCGGCAGGCCUAACACAUGCAAGUCGAGCGAGCGGCGGACGGGUGAGUAAUGUAUGGGGACUGCCCGAUAGAGGGGGAUAACAACUGGAAACGGUAGCUAAUACCGCAUACUAUCGGAUAACCCAUAUGGGAUUCGCUAGUAGGUGAGGUAAUGGCUCACCUAGGCGACGAUCCCUAGCUGGUCUGAGAGGAGGAUCAGCCACACUGGGACGGAGCCACGGCCCAGACUCCUACGGAGGCAGCAGUGGGGUAUAUGGCACAAUGGGCGCAAGCCUGAUGCAGCCCAGCCGAGUGUCGUAAGAAGGCCCUAGGGUUGUAAAGUAAUUCCAGUUGGGAGGCGUUACCGACAGAAGAAGCACCGGCUAACUCCGUGCCAGCAGCCGCGGUAAUUC
rnacentral:rRNA from 1 species